UACGAAGGGAGCUAGCGUUGUUCGGAAUUACUGGGCGUAAAGGGCGCGUAGGCGGUCCGAUAAGUCAGAUGUGAAAGCCCUAGGCUCAACCUGGGAACUGCGUUUGAUACUAUCGGUCUUGAAUUCGGGAGAGGUGAGUGGAAUUGCCAGUGUAGAGGUGAAAUUCGUAGAGAUUGGCAAGAACACCCGUGGCGAAGGCGGCUCACUGGACCGACAUUGACGCUGAGGCGCGAAAGCGUGGGGAGCAAACAGG
rnacentral:rRNA from 1 species